rnacentral:lncRNA from 1 species
UUUCAUAGGAAAAUUGUUCUCAAAGAAUGUGACAUCUCUGGACUCCAUGAUUGUAUCAACAUGCAUGUCUGAUACUCCAGAUUUAAUUAUUAAGAAUCUAUAUCCGAUACUAUGAAAAGCAUAGCCUAGAAAGAUAUCUUGCCUUGGCAGACCAGGGCCAGGUAUUCUCCAUAAUGCUAUAUGCAUAGAGUUAGUUCUGAUCAUGUGUUUGUAUGACCUUUGCUAGUAUAUAUAGAUGCCAUUAGGUCCUCUUGUAUGCCUUGCUCCCACUAACCUAGGGCGUAUUCUUUUAUUCUUUAUUCUUGAGAUUGGCUUACAUGUGUGUCACAUUACCCUCCAUUAUUUAUCAUGGCUUACCCCUGUAUGAAGUUUGGUGCAUUACUUAAGCUUAUGAUCCUGGAUAUGUAUCUAAUAAAUCCUUUUACACCAAUGCCAUCCUUUGGGAAAAUAUAAAUAAUGAUACCCUGAAUACUCUCCGGGUGAAAUGCUACAAUGGUAUAUCCAUGCGCUUGCGGAUUUAUUCAUAAUGUUAAGAAAUACCAACAAGCAUUCCUACACCGUUGCUAGGGAUGGCACUGGUUAAGAGAUUUAUCACUACAUGUUCUUUGUUGUAUGAUUAAGGAAUAGUCAUUGCUUAUACAGGCUAACUUGUCUUUGUUUUCUCCUAAUGGAUGAAAACAAGGUAGUGUAUGACCGGUUUUGUCUUGCCGACCAACUUCGUUUAGAAUCCGGAGACUCUUGUGAGAAGAGUUCGACAUCGUGUUGUCCCUCCUUAGAUCGCUCUUUCGACAACCAAACUAGUCAUCCCAGCACCAUCCAUUCCUAAGGCUAUGGCUGAAAAGACUCUUUGUGAGUUCUCCAUCCCCUCC